rnacentral:rRNA from 1 species
UUAGUGGCGGACGGGUGAGUAACGCGUGGAAACCUGCCGUAUACUGGGGGAUAACACUUAGAAAUAGGUGCUAAUACCGCAUAAGCGCACAGCUUCGCAUGAAGCGGUGUGAAAAACUCUGGUGGUAUACGAUGGUUCCGCGUCUGAUUAGCUAGUUGGUGGGGUAAUGGCCUACCAAGGCAACGAUCAGUAGCCGGCCUGAGAGGGUGAACGGCCACAUUGGGACUGAGACACGGCCCAAACUCCUACGGAAGGCAGCAG